rnacentral:rRNA from 1 species
UUUAUCGGAGAGUUUGAUCCUGGCUCAGGACGAACGCUGGCGGCGUGCCUAAUACAUGCAAGUCGAGCGGACAGAUGGGAGCUUGCUCCCUGAUGUUAGCGGCGGACGGGUGAGUAACACGUGGGUAACCUGCCUGUAAGACUGGGAUAACUCCGGGAAACCGGGGCUAAUACCGGAUGGUUGUUUGAACCGCAUGGUUCAGA